UCAAUAAGUCAAUUGUUGGCGUGUGUGUUAGAUCAAACUGUUUCUUGUUGUUUUCGUAAAACUUUAAACUGCAGGAUGGCUACUGGUAUAAUUACAAAAAUUUUUGUGUUGUGUAUGGUUACAUGGAUCGCCCUGAACUUUGGUACGUCGACUAUGGCAAGCCAUCAUCCUACGAUAAUUGAGGAUAAUCUGGAUGACUCUGCUACUAAUUUCGUAAGGCCCAAAGAGGUGACAAUUGAGGAUUUUCUGACAAAGACCGAAUCCAAUUCAUCAUGGGCUAUCACAGUCCGAACUAU